CCCGGGCCUUGUACACACCGCCCGUCACACCACGAAAGUCGGCAACACCCGAAGUCAGUGGCCCCAACCCCGCAAGGGAGGGGAGCUGCCCGAAAGGGUGGGGGGUUUGGGUGAUUGGGGUG
rnacentral:rRNA from 1 species